rnacentral:rRNA from 1 species
UGUAUAAUGGGUCAGCGACUUAUAUUCUGUAGCAAGGUUAACCGUAUAGGGGAGCCGAAGGGAAACCGAGUCUUAACUGGGCGUUAAGUUGCAGGGUAUAGACCCGAAACCCGGUGAUCUAGCCAUGGGCAGGUUGAAGGUUGGGUAACACUAACUGGAGGACCGAACCGACUAAUGUUGAAAAAUUAGCGGAUGACUUGUGGCUGGGGGUGAAAGGCCAAUCAAACCGGGAGAUAGCUGGUUCUCCCCGAAAGCUAUUUAGGUAGCGCCUCGUGAACUCAUCUUCGGGGGUAGAGCACUGUUUCGGCUAGGGGGCCAUCCCGGCUUACCAACCCGAUGCAAACUACGAAUACCGAAGAAUGUUAUCACGGGAGACACACGGCGGGUGCUAACGUCCGUCGUGAAGAGGGAAACAACCCAGACCGCCAGCUAAGGUCCCAAAGUCAUGGUUAAGUGGGAAACGAUGUGGGAAGGCACAGACAGCCAGGAUGUUGGCUUAGAAGCAGCCAUCAUUUAAAGAAAGCGUAAUAGCUCACUGGUCGAGUCGGCCUGCGCGGAAGAUGUAACGGGGCUAAACCAUGCACCGAAGCUGCGGCAGCGACGCUUAGGCGUUGUUGGGUAGGGGAGCGUUCUGUAAGCCGUUGAAGGUGUGCUGUGAGGCAUGCUGGAGGUAUCAGAAGUGCGAAUGCUGACAUAAGUAACGAUAAAGCGGGUGAAAAGCCCGCUCGCCGGAAGACCAAGGGUUCCUGUCCAACGUUAAUCGGGGCAGGGUGAGUCGACCCCUAAGGCGAGGCCGAAAGGCGUAGUCGAUGGGAAACAGGUUAAUAUUCCUGUACUUGGUGUUACUGCGAAGGGGGGACGGAGAAGGCUAUGUUAGCCGGGCGACGGUUGUCCCGGUUUAAGCAUGUAGGCGGAACGAUUAGGUAAAUCCGGUCGUUUAUUAACGCUGAGGUGUGAUGACGAGGCACUACGGUGCUGAAGUAACAAAUGCCCUGCUUCCAGGAAAAGCCUCUAAGCAUCAGGUAACAUCAAAUCGUACCCCAAACCGACACAGGUGGUCAGGUAGAGAAUACCAAGGCGCUUGAGAGAACUCGGGUGAAGGAACUAGGCAAAAUGGUGCCGUAACUUCGGGAGAAGGCACGCUGAUAUGUAGGUGAAGCCCCUGCGGGUGGAGCUGAAAUCAGUCGAAGAUACCAGCUGGCUGCAACUGUUUAUUAAAAACACAGCACUGUGCAAACACGAAAGUGGACGUAUACGGUGUGACGCCUGCCCGGUGCCGGAAG